rnacentral:lncRNA from 1 species
AGUCAGCAGCUGUAAUGCUAGUAACAUUAUCUCCACACAGCACCUCACACUUUACAAAACUCCCACAGAUACUUUCUCUCGUCUACUUCUUACCACCACUCUGAGAAGUCAACAGGAAAAGGAUCAUGCUUUGUGUGGAGGAUAAAGAUGGAAGUUUUACUCCAGGUACUAGAAGCACCUCAGAGGCUCAAAGGGCGGCUUUAAAAACCCACUACAGACUUGGGGGCUUAAAACAACUCUUCUGGAGGUCUGAAGUCCAAAAUCAAGGUGUCCACAGGGCUGUGCUCCUUCCAAAAGCUCUAGCGCAAAACUGACUCAUGCAGUACCGGGAUCGCUGCCAGAGCGACGGAGCGCGCGAGCAGCGCGGCAUCAACAGGCAGAAGGUGCCACGGGGCGGACGGGACCCACUGCCCGGGUCCAGACUUUCCAUCCGAGAAAGCAAAAGCUUUCAGUAUCCAACUUAUUAGAAGAUAACAUCUUGAUAGGGUUCUCGGGCCUUCUUAAAAUAAAUCUGUCAGACUGUGCUUUUGAAUCUGUCCUGUGUCAAGGUUGCUCCCCCAGGGCAGGGCAGCAAUUUAGCUUUUGCAAGAUCCUGCACUUGCUCCUCAAACGCCAAAGCAGCAACGCGAGCAACUUCCGAGCAGCUGCUUCUUCCCCACUCAAAGCCACAUCACCAACUUCCUCAGCAGCAGCCCCAGCAGCAAUCUGGGUGUUCAAUCUAUCUCGAUCUCACAAUGCCCAUGCCUCCUAGAGGUCUUCCCAGAGCUUAGGAGUCUUUG